UGAUGGCCAUAUCGCGUUGAAACACUCCAGCUUCUGUACGAUCACCGAUGUUAAGCAACGUCGAACCUGGUCAAUACCUAGAUGGGUGACCGCUUGGGUAUUCCAAGUGCUGUGA